UACCAGCACCCCGAGUGGUCGGGACGAUUAUUGGGCCUAAAGCAUCCGUAGCCGGCCUUACAAGUCCUCCGUUAAAUCCAGCUGCUUAACAGAUGGGCUGCGGAGGAUACUAUAAGACUAGGAGGCAGGAGAGGCAAGCGGUACUCAGUGGGUAGGGGCAAAAUCCGUUGAUCCAUUGAAGACCACCAGUGGCGAAGGCGGCUUGCCAGAAUGCGCUCGACGGUGAGGGAUGAAAGCUGGGGGAGCAAACCGG
rnacentral:rRNA from 1 species